AUCCACUGUUGAUCUCGCAUUUCCUGCUUUGUUAUCCAUGUUGGUAAUUAAGACCAUAAAAUCUAUAACAGCUUAUUUACCAGCACUUAUUGAUAUUGUUGGUAUAGCAAGUGUGGAUGCAAAAUAAAGUAAAAUAUGCAAGCUAAAUAAUCGAAAAUGGAUAGAAUAUAUAAGGUGAGUUAAUGGUGAAAUUUUAACAUAUAACCAUUGUGUGUAUAACGGA
rnacentral:misc_RNA from 1 species